rnacentral:rRNA from 1 species
UACGUAGGGGGCUAGCGUUGUCCGGAAUCAUUGGGCGUAAAGCGCGCGUAGGCGGCCCGGUAAGUCCGCUGUGAAAGUCAAAGGCUCAACCUUUGAAUGUCAGUGGAUACUGCCGGGCUAGAGUCCGGAAGAGGCGAGUGGAACUCCUGGUGUAGCGGUGGAAUGCGCAGAUAUCAGGAAGAACACCGACGGCGAAGGCAGCUCGCUGGGACGGUACUGACGCUGAGGCGCGAAAGCGUGGGGAGCGAACAGG